GUACAGAAAUAUUAUUUGUAAUUUCCAUUGCUUCACUCACUCAUUCAUUCAUAUUACAACAGCAACACAAUAACAAAUGCAUAUGUAUUGGAAAUGCUCCUUAUUUCAUCUAAAUAUGAUCAUCCAUCGCAUUAUACAUCUUGCUAUAUAAGUGGAAUGAGUUAUUAAAACUCUUGCAUCCUCCUCUGAAACCAUUUAAAAGCUUCGUCUUCAUAUGCUUGGUCUCACAUUAAGCCUAGAUGCAAGCUUUUGACCCAAAGACUUGUCAGCCUGAGACCAGUAUGUGAUCCAAAUGCUGCGUAUUUCAUAAGUGAUACGAGGAUCAGACAAGGCCUCCACCCACCGACGAAUAAAGCGUUCUUGUCUGUCGGGUGUGAAUGAGCGGUACCUUUCUCCUGGUUGCUUGAAAUUGUUCUCUUUUUGAAUGAUACACUUCUCGCGUUUGCCACUGCAAACUGUUGAAGGAAUAGGAUACACCUCAGCAUGGCGAACUUGAUCAUACCUUGAAGGGAAGUAGUCGAUCUCCUCAUCCCUGUGC
rnacentral:misc_RNA from 1 species